GAUGAACGCUAGCGGGAGGCCUAACACAUGCAAGCCGAGCGGUAUUGUUUCUUCGGUAAUGAGAGAGCGGCGUACGGGUGCGUAACACGUGUGCAACCUGCCUUUAUCUGGGGGAUAGCCUUUCGAAAGGAAGAUUAAUACUCCAUAAUAUAUUGAACGGCAUCGUUUAAUAUUGAAAGCUCCGGCGGGUAGUGAUGGCCACGCGCAAGGUUAGCUAGUUGGUGAGGUAACUGCUCAACAAGGCGAUGAUCUUUAGGGGGCCUGGGAGGGUGAUCCACUAGACGGGUACUGAGAUACGGACCAGACUCCUACGGGAGGCAGCAGUGAGGAAUAUUGGUCAAUGGGUGCAAGCCUGAACCAGCCAUCCCGCGUGAAGGACGACUGCGCUAUGGGUUGUAAACUUCUUGUGUAGAGGGAUAAACCUAGCCUCGUGAGGGUAGCUGAAGGUACUAUACGAAUAAGCACCGGCUAACUACGUG
rnacentral:rRNA from 1 species